UACGAAGGGGGGCUAGCGUUGCUCGGAAUCACUGGGCGUAAAGGGUGCGUAGGCGGGUCUUUAAGUCAGGGGUGAAAUCCUGGAGCUCAACUCCAGAACUGCCUUUGAUACUGAGGAUCUUGAGUUCGGGAGAGGUGAGUGGAACUGCGAGUGUAGAGGUGAAAUUCGUAGAUAUUCGCAAGAACACCUGUGGCGAAGGCGGCUCACUGGCCCGAUACUGACGCUGAGGCACGAAAGCGUGGGGAGCAAACAGG
rnacentral:rRNA from 1 species